GUGCCAGCAGCCGCGGUAAUUCCAGCUCUAGGAGCGUCUGUGUGUGUUGCUGCGGUUAAAAAGCGCGUAGUCGGGCAGACAGCCAGCAAUAAAGGUGCGGUCUCAUGCCGUGCAUUGUGCUGGAACGAAGGCCUAGGGACCGGAGAGGGGCAAUGGUAUUCGGCAGCGAGGGGUGAAAACCGAUGACCUGUCGAGGAGCAACAGAGGCGAAAGCGAUUGUCCGGAACGGGUUCGACGAUCAAGCGCGUGAGCAGGAGGAUCGAAGACGAUUAGAGACCGUCGUAGUUCCUGCAGUAAACGAUGCCGACGGGGCUGCAGCAGGCUGUGGCCCGGGGGAAACCGAGUGUAUGGGCUCCGGGGAUAGUACGGGCGCAAGCCAGAAACUUAAAGAAAUUGACGGAAGGACACCACAAGGAGUGGAGUGUGCGGGUUAAUUUGACUCAACGCGGGACAACUUACCGGAGGCAGGUAGUAUCGUGUGAAGGGGUGGGAUAAAGAUCUGUGUUCCCAAGGAUGCUGCGUUGUGGUGCAUGGCCGUUCUUAACACGUGGGGUGACCUGUCUGGUUAAA
rnacentral:rRNA from 1 species